UGGGGAAUCUUGCGCAAUGGGCGAAAGCCUGACGCAGCGACGCCGCGUGCGGGAAGAAGGCCUUCGGGUUGUAAACCGCUUUCAGGAGGGACGAAGCCACUCGGGUUAAUAGCCCAGAGGGUGACGGUACCUCCAGAAGAAGCCCCGGCUAACUACGUGCCAGCAGCCGCGGUAAUACGUAGGGGGCAAGCGUUGUCCGGAUUCAUUGGGCGUAAAGAGCGUGUAGGCGGCCAGGUAGGUCGGUUGUGAAAACUGGAGGCUCAACCUUCAGACGUCGACCGAAACCAUCUGGCUAGAGUCCGGGAGAGGAGAGUGGAAUUCCUGGUGUAGCGGUGAAAUGCGCAGAUAUCAGGAAGAACACCCGUGGCGAAAGCGGCUCUCUGGAACGGUACUGACGCUGAGACGCGAAAGCGUGGGGAGCGAACAGGAUUAGAUACCCUGGUAGUCCACGCCGUAAACGAUGGGCGU
rnacentral:rRNA from 1 species